rnacentral:rRNA from 1 species
GACGAACGCUGGCGGCGUGCUUAACACAUGCGAGUCGAACGGAAAGGCCCUGCUUUUGUGGGGUGCUCGAGUGGCGAACGGGUGAGUAACACGUGAGUAACCUGCCCUUGACUUUGGGAUAACUUCAGGAAACUGGGGCUAAUACCGGAUAGGAGCUCCUGCUGCAUGGUGGGGGUUGGAAAGUUUCGGCGGUUGGGGAUGGACUCGCGGCUUAUCAGCUUGUUGGUGGGGUAGUGGCUUACCAAGGCUUUGACGGGUAGCCGGCCUGAGAGGGUGACCGGCCAGCGUGGGACUGAGAUACGGCCCAGACUCCUACGGGAGGCAGCAGUGGGGAAUAUUGCACAAUGGGCGGAAGCCUGAUGCAGCAACGCCGCGUGCGGGAUGACGGCCUUCGGGUUGUAAACCGCUUUCGCCUGUGACGAAGCGUGAGUGACGGUAAUGGGUAAAGAAGCACCGGCUAACUACGUG